AUGGAGGCAUUUACUGACCAGGCUCUACACUAUCAGAGAAUGACCUUCCCUCUUGACUCACUGAUGUCAGGUGAGCAGAGGCAGGUGAAGCAAGGACUGGUUGAGCAGAGGAUGUACAGAGAGCAAGAGAGUAGCUGUCUUGAUGCUGCUGUAUUCAUUGUGUUGAUGUAUCACAAUUCAUUUAACCACUCCUUUGUGGAUGGCACCUUCCCAAUAGUUUAAUCAUGAAUACUACACAUAUUGGGCUUCCUUGGUGGUCCAGUGGUUAAGAGUUCGCCUUUGUAAUGCAAGGGACACCAGUUUGAUCCCUGGUCCGGGAAAAUCCCACAUGCCAUGGGGCAACGGAACCCGUACACUCUACCUACCAAGCCUGCACGCCUGCAACAGGAGAAGACGCUGCAGUGAGAAGCCUGUGCACCUUAAGUGGAGGGCAGUCCCUGCUCACUAACUAGAGAAAGCCCACGUGCAGCAACUGAGAACCAGCACAGCCGGAAAGAAAAUAAACAAAAAUUUAAAAAUAAAUAAAUAUCAGACACAUAAUCUUUUGCAUUCAAAGAGGUUUGCACUGCCACACAGGGCUCUUGUAGAGAGAAACAAGUAUACCACAUGGAGCAUUCAUGAAAUAAAUGCUUAAAGGAGGUAAUUUUCUUCCUGUAACAAUUACCUACAGAGUAGUCUCUGUGUUUUGAUAUAUUUGGCACCACUAGUGGGAAGUUUGGGGAUGAAUACCUGCAAAGUGUUGCUGUCUCCAUAGGUGCUUUCGUCCUCAGCAAAGGGGUAUAUCAAAUUGUUUUUGGGGAAAGAAUGUGAGAUUCCCAAGAAAUAGAAGAGCACAUUGUCAUCAUCAUGGGAGAAAUCAGAACUUUGUGGACUUCUUUUUACUAUUAUUUUACAGAAUGUUUGUAUUUUGAAUAACUUUUAGGGUGAGUAAGGAUCUUGACCUGUUCAGUGCUUAGCCCCUCAGUUCAGUUCAGUUCAGUUCAGCUGCUCAGUCGUGUACGACUCUUUGUGACCUUAUGAAUUGCAGCACGCCAGGCCUCCCUGUCCAU
rnacentral:lncRNA from 1 species